AAAAAUAAAAGAAGAAGAAGAAGAUGCAUACACGUAUAACUCAAAAACAAAUCAGAUGAACAUAAGCAACCAAGUUAUCGUAAUUCAACAUAUAGACUAGACGCAUUAUGUUAAAAAGGCAUAAGAUCUAGUACCAUCCUGCAACCUCUUGCCCUAGAAAGUAGGUAAUUUAAGCAACUCAUAAAAGGCAUUUCCAUCCAUAAUCAACAGGCAGAGUCAACAACAUAGCUUUAAUCUCAAUUUACACAAUAAGUUUCCGGCGCCAAACAUAAUCCAGAGCACCAUAUAAGUAGAUAUAUAUAUAACGAUAAAUUAAGUUGGCAUAAGACCAUAUCCUAUUACAUUAUUUACCCCCUGGCCUUUAGCUCUGCAAGACGCCUUGACAAAUCA
rnacentral:misc_RNA from 1 species